GGUGCGGCCCUCGGUUAGCGUGGGCUCCUGGAUAGCCCGGGGGAGUUCGGUUCCCGCACGGCGCGGUGGCCCCCGUGAGCGCCCCGCUGCCCCGUGCCUCCCUCACGGGGCCAUCACACGCUGUGCCGCUUCCCAUAAGUUGCUUUCCGUGAGACUGGGUGGGAAACAGGUGUGCGGAACUGGAGUCAGGAGAAAAACAGGGUGACAGCUGCGCUGGGGUGGGGAGAGAGAAGUUGGCGGGGACAGGAGCAGCCUGACAAAGCGAGAAGGUCUGCGUGUAAUCCUUGUCUCUGCCACUGAUAAAAGCUGCCUUUGAUGGGUCUUUACCACAGCUUUGGAGUGUGAGGGACGCUAAGAUUCUGCUCCUGGAGCUUCUUUCUGUGGGGGAACUUCCCUGUGCGACGUUGUCCUUCAGUCAGUUUCUUGUUGCGUUUUAUCCCACUUCCCACAAACUGUUCCCAGUGUAAGAGCAAUGUUUUGUAUCCCUCUUGCACAGGGAGGAGGUUUCUGUCGGCUCAGAGCAGGGAUGGCACCUGCUUGGCUGCAGUUGGUGGCCCCCAGCUCGGUCCCUCAGGAGCUGGGUGAGCACUGUUUCACACUCCGCAUAGCUUGGUAAAUGUAUGAGGUUCAGUUAUAUACGUAAGUUGUGCAGGGUUCUAUUUACUGAACGUUUUCAGUCUCACUUUAUUACUGUAAUAUCUACGAGGGAAAGCCGUUACAGUCUGCGAAUGAAAUGCCCUCAGAGUUAGAAAAAGGAAAAAGUGUCUACUUUGUUAUGGGCGUGUUUCUCACAAAUGCAGUAAGUAAAUGGUGUCCUUGUAGUGAUUAAUAGAGAAGCCAUUCAGAGCCCUUGUGGGGGCUGGGCUUUUUUUUUAAUUACGAAGAUAACUUCCUCAUCCAACCCAUUGCUCAGAGACAUAACAACUGUGUUUUACUCACUUUCAUUGCUGUACUGAGAUGAAAAACUGUUGAUAUAUUCUCCCCGGAGGUCAUCAGAAAUACAAACAAGGUUCUGGACCUAAUGCAUAUGUAGACUGGUGGAUGAAGUCUGCGGUUUAUUGUACUGUAAGGGAAGCUGAACAGAAGGGAAGGAGGAGAUUAAAGAAGACAUUUGGAAAUCAGAGUAACCGACCCUACAUGGCAUCUGAUUUGUGGCAUAGCUGCUGUGUGGGAGGCUAGGAAAAAGAAAAGGCAGUCAUUUAUUGUGUUUUUUGUUUUUGUUUUAAUGAAGGAAAUACAUACUGGAAUGAUAAGGGCAAACCCAGUGAUACCUUCUUGCCUCUUUUGAUCCAAGUUCAUGACAUGUGGCUCAAAUCUCAUUUCAGCAAGUAUUCAUGACCUUAAAGCUUAUUUCCAUCAGAAAGCCAAGUUAAGGGUAGUGUUGGGAAUGUCACUGACAGAGUUCUGUUUCCCUGUAGAAGAAUACACCUUCAGUAUUCAUUAUUCCCAGCUUCCUCCCAGCCUGUUUUCUACUAGCAAGAUCCCUCAAGAUUCUCUCAGGCCAGUGUUUCCCAUCCUUCCCUUGCAGGCGUGACUGCCCUUCUCUGCCUCGUCUCUGGCUGUUCCCAUUGCAAACCAACCCCUUUCCAAGAAAAAAUAUUUUGCCUGAUGUUCUGCUUCUGAGCAGCAUGGCUACGUAGCCUGUACUUUUGGGAGGAACUGUUACAGUGUCUUUCUUAUUCCAGAAGGGAAUAUGUAUGCUAAAAGUGAUACACAGGUAAGCACUCCACCAAGCAAUGCAUUUUGGCAAUACAACAUGACAUACUGCACAGUCCAGCUUUCAGAACAGCUCCAGUCUCUUGGUCUCAUCAUGUCUAGCCUGAGAGGAACUGGUGUGGGUUGGUCAAGAGCAGAGCCAUAAUGAAUCUGCGAAGAAUAACAAUACGAUUGGGCAGAUCUGCAGUUUCAUUUCUGAUGGAACCAGCAAUUCAGAAAAAGAACAUGCCAUUCCAAACUUCAUUUUCUUCUCCAUGUAAGUGAUAGCUUCUCAUCUGCAGGAGAUUUAAUGCAAAUACGUACCUUUUGGGCAAGAGGGGUUAGAUCUUUGCCUUCCACUAUUGUCUGCAGUGCUGGAUGCGGCAAUGGGUUUCUUCAAAAACAUCAGUUUUCUCAAGUGUCCUCACUGGUAAAUAGGGCAGCUGCAGGUGUCCAAUUCUGUACUUCUGUCAUGCUCACAAUGAGUUACAGUUAGGGAGCAGCAUACUAUGCACUGUAUAGCCUUCAAAAAAGACAAUCGAAGUAACAGGAUUGUUGUCUUGCAUUUUUCUUGCUGUUGCUCAAAGUAAAAUUAAAACCACUUAGAAAAUGCUACUUAGCAAUCUUAAUCAAAAGUGAGUUUUUAACUCCAGGUUUCAACUAAAAAAAGAAGUUUCUCUUCAUGUAUUUACAAAGAUUCAAUUUGAUGCCCCAUUGGGAUGCAUCAAUGAUUUCCCCAAUUACCCUAUUCUCUUUACGUAAUUAUGAAUACUACAGUUUAACUCCAUAGAACAUUGUAUUAGAAUGUAUGCUAGCAAAAAAAAAAAAAAAAAAAAAAAAAAAAGAGCAAAGUUCCCUAACAAAAUGUCUAGAUAUGAUGUACUGACUGUGAAGGCAUAUGUUUGCUACCACUAGUAGGCUUAGCUGAGCAGUGCAACAAUCUUCUUAAGGUGUAGAACCAAACUUUUGGUCUGCUCAGAGCCACAUUUUUUCAACAGAUCUCCCAUUAAUGAGGUACAGAGUCACAGAAUCACAGAAUAUCCCAAGCUGGAUUGUCUCUAGUCCAGGAGUCUAUGAUCUAAAUCACAGAGGAGGACAGCUGAACAACAGACAAAGACUGAGGAAAGAACACAAGAACACAGAGACUGUUAGGAAUGCAAUAAGCAAAGCCAUCACCCAUCAGCUGUCUAGCUGCUGAUGCUUGUUUUGUCCUGUGCAUGCUUCCCAUUUCCUCUGCUCUGGAUAAUCAGAAAUCUCUGCCCUGGUGCAUCCAGGAAUGAUAAUAUUCAUUUUUCUUCCCAUUUGAGGAAAGAAAUUUAAGAAAACAACUGUUCUUUUUCUAAGAAUAAACCUUAAUAAGAACGAUGCCAAUACGUCAUAUUAGCAGUUGUAUGGAGUUAAACCAUAAUAUUCAUAAUUACAGAGAAAGAAGGAGGUAACUGGGGAUAUUAUGGGCAUCCCCAUGGGGCAUCGACUUGAAUCUUGAUGGAUACAUCAAGAUGAUGUUCCACCAUCCUUUCCUCGACAUACAAAUUCAAUUGUAAAAUGGUAAUUUUCUAUUUUCCUUCCCAACUCAAAUUUUACUGUUUACAUAGAGAGUAACUUGAUCUUUGAGGCAUCUUCUCACUCUUUUUCCUCCCCCACCUAUUUUUUCCCCCCCAGAAAAAAAUCCAGGCUGAUGGACAGCUAAGAUAGAGAGGGACCACUGCAGCAUGCAUUCAGUGCUCAGUCAGGAUGCAGCUUUGGUGACUUAAGUGUCUGAAAGUUGGCAUGAGCUGAGUUUACCAAGAACAAGGAGGAAAAAUGGUGUUCUGACAUAGCUGGUGUGCUGCGUCCUAAGGGAUCGCCUUCAAUUCCAGAGAAAUGCUGUGGUUGAAAAAGCUGGGGGGAAAAAAAGAAAAAAAAAAAAAAGAUCAUAGUGAAUUCUCAGAACAUACAGAAGCUCUGUAUGCUUUCUGGUUGUGUUAUAAACUCUUUGCAAUUCUUUUUUGAAAGAACAAAAACCUAAGUGCACAGUGAGCAAAUGCAUGUACAGUUUUAUGCCUGGGAGGCUCAGCGGCACUGCUCACUGCACAGUAAGUAUUGCAGCUCUGCUUUUGUCCCAGCUUGGCAGCUCUAGAAUAGGGUAAAGAUUUUCCAGCAGUUGUUUUGAAUUGUGUUCUGCUAUUGUCUGAUAGCAUCGUUAGCUGAAACCCUAGCCGUGAAGUCAAAGGGAAGCCAGACAUGAGGGAAACCUUGAGUACUGAAAGCCAACAAUAAGGGCAGCAUGACUUUGAGCUGUUUGAAGAACGAAGGGCCUUGCUGGGCCGCUCCUAUACCUGAGACUGAGGUCCUUGUGCCACUAAUCUAACAGCGUUACCAUGGGUUUAAAACAGCAGCAGCAGCCCGGGUGUGACUUCUUAAGUUCUCUUGCCAAAAGCAACAGGACAGUUCAGUUACUGCCACUUGGUUUUAGUGAAGAGCAAGAGAAUGUAGCACUCAAAUGCAAACAAUUAGAUUACAACUAAAAUAAAUGUCUCUGAAGGCAUAGAAACGUUCUCCUGAUACAAGAUCUUGUGUAUUUCAAUUCAAAACAAACUGUAUUUGUAAUGGAAGAGAACAGUAAAAGCCUAUAGCUCUUUGCACCUUUUACCAGACCAGAAAAUAUGAAACAUAUAACUUCCUAACAAACUGGCAUUUGGAGUAGAGGUGGAUACAGGAGCAAAAAAAAGAGACGGCGUGAAACACUACAUCACAAGAACUGGGAUUUACUCAAUUUUAGACUGCCAUAAACAUGCUUAGCUUUGCCGAGUUGAGACUCAGACGGUGUCAGGGACAGUAACAGGCAGCAGCAAGCAGAUAUGCUCGGAGCGUUGCCCUUUCCCUGCUAUGCACUUCUCUCACAUGUGUAAUUUUAGCAUAUGCGCUGCGCACAAGUUCUGAGGGAUCAGUGCCCUCUGUAUGUUGGGGAGGUGCCACUGAACAUCAAACAACACAAACUAAUAAUUCUGCAUUGCAAUGCAAGCUGCUCAGUUCUCACUUACUUAUCAAAUGAGUUUCAUAAAGCUUCUCUUCUCUAGCUGAAUGUCUGGGACAAGAAAGCAAAGGAAUCAGUCUGCGGCCUUUGCCUUUGCCUGAGACUGCUUUUCUCACGGACUAAGCAUCUUUUUUGCCAAAAUAUGCUUUCAAGCUCCUUCCAUGCUGUUCAUUAAAAUGUUCUUACAGUAAACACAGUGUGAGGAGUGAACAAGUAACACCACAAUAUUUUAUUGCAUUACUGCUUUGGUAAUAUUAAAUCACUGAAUUUGUCAUUUGUGUUCAGCAUGUUAUUUCCUACAGUAAAUUACCAGUAAAAGCUGGUAUUAACAUUUUUCUUACAGUUUAGCUGGUAGAACGUAAUUAAGGAUUGUAUCGUGUGGUGACAAAAAAGAGUUGAAUUGGAGGCCAUAACUGUAAUGCUCACGUUUCAUAACAUGUGAGUGCUUCAUGUUUCUUUCAAUGUAGCUGAUGCAAGGUGGUAUUGCAGGGCCAGGUGUUCUUCCCAGAGACUGUCUUUGGGAGGGAAUGAGCCAGGGACAGGAACAAAUCUGCCAUGUGGUGAGACCAGCACCAAGAAUGAGUGAAACCAUAGAUGCAAGAUCCAUAUCCACACGUAUACUGGCAGAACUGGUAAUGAACCAGUUCUUCAGGUCUCAGUAGCAGCAAUGGCAGAGGUGCUGAAUUUCUGUGUGCCUUUAAGCCGUCCACAAGAUAAGCUCUACGGGCAAUUGCAUGCUUUCAAGUUAAUCAUUAGAAAGAAAAGUCCUGGUACUUUUCACUCAUGUCAGCUUGCUAGGUGUGUCUGGUGGCUCUCAGACACUGAAGGACCCGCAAAGAGCAAGGCUGUGAAUGGGCCGAGGUGGAAGGAACUUGUGGUGACACUUGCAUCUGGUGAUCGUGCUCCUCACUGCGUGGGACCAGCACUGGACUCCUGGGUGGAUACUCAACAGCAGGACAGCACGUUGAAAGGCAGCGCUGACAAAAUGACUCUAUGCUGAACAGCUUCUAGCAGCUACAGAAUCUGAAAUCUGUUUUACUAAUUAAACCAUUUCAGCAAGUGCUCCAAUGGCUGAAAUGUGUCUCUCUUAAGCGAGAUUAAAAAGAACAUGACAAAAGUUUGUCUAGCAUGCCUCAACCCAAAUUUCCUGUAAAGGAUACAGCUUGUUAGUUUUCAAAAGAUGUCAAAUAUAUUUUCUUGAUAUCUUGACUUAUUAUGGCCCAUGGGAACAAUUUUCAAACUGAAACAAGUAAGAAGAAAGGGGAAAAAAUAACUGGACUACACAGGAGGUGCUUGCAUAUCCGGAAUGUGUUAUCUGUCCUUUGAAAGAAGAGAUCAGAAGGUAUUUGGACAGAUUUUCCCCAAAAGGAACACAUACUUAUAAAGAAUAUUUACUAAGAAAACGUUUGUCAUUUCUCGAAGAUAUUUAUCAAGCUAAACGACACACAAAAAGAAAUAAAGCCUGCCUUAACACGUCCAAAGCAAAAUGGAAUUAAAAGAAAGCAACACAGGGAUGUCAACCCAUGGAACAAAUUCAGCUCAGCCACUGGCAACAAAUAAAAUCAGCAUGGUUUGUUGUUUGGAGCCUGGGUACUGGUGCCAAGGUACAGCACGUGGCUUUGACCCACUCUCCUCAUCCUUUCCUGUACAAUUUUUGGUGGGGAACUCAUGGGCAGCCCACUGCUGUCCUUCCUCUGCUGGAGAGCAUUUUCCAGGCUGUUCUUAAACCUUUAUUCCACUUCUUUUUUGAGACAGAGCACCAGCAUCCUUUCUCAGGUGUCUCCUUGACAGCCCACUUCCAGCAGCCACAGGAGCAUCACUGAGUUUGUGCAGCACCUGGCACUAGGCAUGACCAUGUCUGCUGUGACAGCCUGCCAAGGCAGGCCUGGCAAUUCAAUAACUCACCACACGUAAGCGCACACUGCAGGACACAGAUGCUUGGCUGGGCAGCGAGCUGUGCCUUGGUGCAGCUGGCACACAGUAGAGAUGUACCAGACCCUGUAAAAGCCGAAAUAUUGCCUAUUUUCUUUCAAACAUUCGGGCUCCAAAUCUGUGCCAUGUCCCUGUCCCAACUUCACAGGCACUUUCAGAUGAAGUCUUAGAUUUCUUCUCCUGCGUAGCGGGACCGGCUCCUAGCUCAGCUAUCCACGUUUCAAUUCCUGAACAAAAUCACGUCCCCUGGAGUUUAAGACUAAAUCCUGAAAUUGAGGGGAAAAAAUCCCAAACAACAAAAGCCCAGCAGGUGUGGCUAAAGCAAGACGGAGAUCCGCGGGCUCUGAGAACUGGAGCAAAGCCCUCGGCCAGUUGCCAUGGGUGUGCUCUCAGGCUGCUGGAGGGCUCUCCCCAUUAAGCUUUUCAUCAAUUCUGGAAUAGCAACAGAGGACUGAUACCACAGCAGUGUGCGGGAUGGGUGAGGUGAAUGCCAUCUCCCGUUGGUUUGUCUUCAUAAAUAGCCUCCCUCUCUUCUUCCUUCUUACAGCCUUUCAGAAGAAUACUGAUUUUCACCAUAUACAAAGUAGGUGAACUAUCUCCUGUAACUGGUGCUGCAUCCAGGGAGGUCCAGCUGUUAAAACCAACUGGUAAGAGUUUUCAGGCCAUCAUUUCCUCUCAAUAGAAAGGACUUCAGGUGUCACACAUAAGUUUCGAUCCACACUGGCAUGAAAAUUGCUAAGCAACUUUCUAUGUAUUUGUUUCUAUGGCUUUAGGCAAUUUUUAUUUCAGGAAAAUUGACAUCAUACACAUGAGCACACAAAAUGCCUAGUGGAGUUCAGCUGAAGAAAAAUAUAAUUGUACCUUAAUAAAAAGGUAAGAUAACUUUGCUGUUUGGCAAAUCACUGGCAACGCUGCGGGUGCCUGGAAUUCACUUCUAUUGUCUCCAAUAUGAAUUGCUUUGAAAAAGGUCACAUGAGGAGGAAAGGAAGUUUUGAUUUUCACAUGCCUGUUAUUGCUAAGGAAACCACUUCCUUGGUAUUCACAUAUUCAGCAUGUCUCCAGUGCUGCCUCUCUGACAAAUGACAUUGUGCUACUUCAUCAAGUAACAAAGAGGGGCGGGGAAUGCUGUUAAAUGACUUGACGUGUUCUGAACACCCGUACAGCUUUUGUAGGACUGCUGAACUUCAACGGCACUCCGUAAGAACAUGCAGGGGCCUCUGUUAGCUACAAACGAGAUUCCCAAAGUUCAGAAACACAUAAGAAAGGCUCUAGUCUACAUCAACCACGCUCAGGUACUUCUGAGGCUUACUGCGUUGUAGCAAUGGCAAUGACCUUACACUAUUGCAGAUGCUGAGAAAUCAGUUUUCUAACACAAAACUGCCUGCAUUAUUUUCUUGGCAGAAUUUAUUCUAGCCUUCAGACAUACCUCUGCAUAUUUUUUUUUAGACAUUCAGAUAUCAGAAUCUGAUUAUGAAAACGUGUUACCUGGUAAUUUCAUUGAAAGCAAUUGUACUUGAACUGUGACCCAUGGGACUUUUCCCAUUUUUUUGAAUUCUAAAUCAAACAAGCAAACAACUGGAGAAAUAUAAGCUACAGUUGGUGAGGAUGGAGAUUUUUUUUUUUUAAGAGGAACGAAGCAAAUUUUCUUUGAUGUAACAUAUUCGCAGCUCUCAAUCUGACAAGAAGAAAAUGUAUGAUAAGUAGGCUUAUUUCUGCUUUACAUGAAGUCUAGCACGCUUCAGGCUGUGAGUUCCACAGUAAAUACACAAUAGUUACUGAGAUUACUGGGAGCAAGCACAAGGCACACACAAAUCAAAGGAAUUGAACAGCUAAAGCCCUGCUCAAUUUACUGAGAGACUACUGUGCUUCUGGUAUGUCAAGAUUUAUUUGUCUAAGUGUUAUCAGGAAAAAGAACAAAAUGCAGUGCACUGAGCCUGGGAUGCAAGGCCAGCAAUCAGUAUUUCUGGAUCUGAUAAACAUUUCUGGAUUUGAUAAAUGUUUAUAAAUAUCUAAAGGGAGGUGGGAGGCAAAUGGAUGAGGCCAGGCUCUUCUCAGUGGUGUGCAGUGAUUGGACAAGGAGUAAUGGAAUAAAAUUUGAACACAGGAAAUUCUGUACUAACAUGUGGAAGAACUUCUUUAUGGUAAGGAUGAUGGAGCCCUGGAACAGGUUGCCCAGAGAGGUUGUGGAGUCUCCUACUAUGGAGACAUUCAAGACCCAUCUGGACGCCUACAUGUGCAACCUGUUGUAGGGCACCUGCUUUAGCAAAGGAGUUGGACCCAAUGAUCUCUUGAGGUCCCUUCCAACCCCUGCAAUUCUGUGAUUCUGAUCUUGGCCCUGCCUGAGAUGUAUAUGGUGGCCCUGGAGCAGCAGCCUCACUUCCUGCACGCUCACCAGAGCAGCAUCGUGAGUUGUCUGCUCCACUAAGGAGCUGGGCAGUCAGCUUCCAGCUUCUGCAUGCUUGUCUGACAAUGUGAACGGCCCCAUAAAUAUUAUCAUUAUAUGCGGGACCUCUCCAUGUCUGUCCCCCAGGAAACAUGCACCAUGUACCUCGGAUCUGAGGCAACAGACCUGUGCUCUAGCACCAGACCUGAGGCCCAGACCCAUGGGGACUGCAGAUGCGGCCUGCUGGCAGCACGGAAGCCACCAGGGUGCUCACCACCACGAGGGCCUUGCUUUAGUCCUUCUUAAAUAUGUUAAAACUAAGGUGUUUAAGAAAUGGACUGGCUCUCCUCUCAGAGAAUGGCUUCAUUACCAUUGUGCCAGUGGCAGGGACAUAGCCCACUUCCUCAAAAGUUAUUGGCUUAAUGCAGGAAUAACAGAGAGAAGGACCUACAGCCUAUUUAUUCAGGAAGAAAAAUUAGAUGGCUUAAAGUACUUAGACACAUGCUGAAGUUCAUCUCCUACUGAAUUUCCCUAGUAUCUUCAUCUCUCAACCAUUAUCUUUGUGGGGGCUUUGCUGGGCCAUACUCGUUCCAAGAAGCUCUAAGGGGUCACCUGAGGUGAGACAGAAGAGGCAAAACCCCCAAGUAAAGCCACAAGAACAGUUUUUAGUUAGUUUGUUUGCUUUUAAACAGAACAAGUUAUCUCCUGUAAUACAGGAAAGGGGAGAAGUAUUGGCCACAUCCCUCUUCCAUGACAUAAAUGGGUUCCAGGCACAGAGCACGUGAGAGUACCCAUGACCCAGGAACUGCACUCUUCUCCUGUUCAGAGGAGCAGCAGCUUCUUAAUUAUUCCAGAAACUGCUUAUGAAUGAAUAUUUUGAAAUUGCUGAGAAAAAAGCAAGUGCUAAAACCGUAAGGUCUACGUUUCAUGCUGCAUAUAGUUCUGCACUCAUUAGUACUUGUAGAAAUUAGUCAAGCCAGUAUCUCUUGUGGCCCUGGCAUCCCCACCAUCAGCCAGCCUCGUGAUUCUGUUGCGGUAUCAGUUGGUAUUGCAGGCUGGUGACCCAAACCUAUGCAAGGCUUUGCAAAUCAUCAGAAAAAUCAUCUAAUCCUCGCUGUGGCCCAUGGGGAGCCAGCAGGGAAGGAAGGGAGUGCUCCUGGCUGAUGCUGGGUUGCUAAGCACAGGGGCUGCUAUGCCAGAGAGGCAGGACAGGGCUGGGCCAUCAGGCAGGGAGCAUAUAAGCUCUCAGUGAGCUGCACGCUGCUGUGCAUUUACAUAGCUUACGUACAUUUACAUAGCUUACACUGGAAGAAAGCACUGUCAGGGAAGGGUCAAAAGUGCAAAGCUUGAGAGCUAAAGCCUACACUGACUGCACAGUAGCUGAUAAUGUCCUCAGCAGAAAAGCACUUAGAGGAGGAACUGCAAGAAAACCAGGAUCGCGCCGGCCAAGGAGAAUUUCAAAGGCCAAAAGGCAAGAAUGUUAAAAAUAUCUCCAAAUAAAACCCACGUGACCUGGUCCAGCAAAGCUCCUUUGCACAAAAGCUGUGGGGUACAGAUGUACCCCCGUAAACUGGGAGUGAGGAGCACAGUGGAAAGAAAAAGGAGAUUCCCCCCUCAACCUCAGUUUAUGUGUCUAAAACAAAAUGAGCUUCUGCUUACUUUUAUCUGCAUGAUCUUAGAUUCCUUCACGUGACUCACUUGACACCUACUUAUUUCCCAGUGCACAUAUUUAACAGUUUCCCUGGGCAUCUUUCUCACUCGGAUGGAGCCUGAGGCCAGAGCUGCCAUUCCCACACCACACUGUCCCAUGUACUUCCCUCUCCUUACAGAAGGCAGAGUGCUCAGAGAGAUGCUGGCUGUGGCCAGGCCAGCCCAUGUCUGCUUUCACUUCCUUCGGUACAAUCGCAGACCUCAGUAUCGGUGCUUUACUUCAGACUGAUGUAACCAAGAUUGAAAUCUGUCCUAUAGCAGAUAUUUCUCAAAGCAUAUCAAAGAAGAAUCACACCAGAAGAGAAGCGAGGGAAACAGAGAGUGCCACUAAACUUUGCCAGGAUAGGUUUCAAAGUCAGUGAAAACCAUCUGAGACAGGGCUAAAACAUACAACAAAGUAGCACCCUGAAAAAAAAACACAAACAUUUCCAAGCAGUGAUGUCCUACAGAUCCCACAGAACAUUCGUAAUUACUAAUAAUUAGCAAUGAUUAAGGAGGGAAGCCUGCACAGAACUAACAAUAUAUGAGUAAAGUCAAUGCUCAGUACUGGGCUGCUUUAGCCAACACCUUCACUGUGGUAUGCACACCCAUUGCAGCUCCCUGCUUGGGCCAGGAGCUGUGUCUGCACAGCAGGAAGGAGGAAAAAGAACAACACGUGCAACUGGCUUUACGGACGACAUAAAAUAACGGGAUGCCACACUUUAAUUAGAUAAUUAAAACUCUGUUGCUGCUUUGCUACAUGCCAAGGACACUCAGUUUCUUGGCAACAGGCCUCUAAUUUUCCUUCUUUGAUAUCCAGGUCACAGCUAUUUGAAUUAGAGGCUCAUUUCCAGCAGCAGAGCACAACAAUGGCACACAGCUCUCUGUCCUAGUGGAAGCUUUACCCUGAAGUUCAGUGCCUUUCAACUACAUUCUGACUGUAAUUGCAAUUAUAAAAACUGUGAAAGCUGUUAUGAAGGGGAAUAUCACAAUAUUCACAAAGGUGAGGGGAGACUUUCAUAUUCAAAAAGAUACUCAAAAAUUACAUAGCCCUGUGCAAUAUCAACUUCUCACAUCAGCAGCAGUUAAAUCUGUGUUGUUCCAGCUAAAGAAUGUGACUGAAAGUGUAAAGAGCAAGAGAAAGAAAACACCUGUUCCAUCCCUGGCUCUCCAGUUUCUUCAAAAAUUAGGUCUACCCAAUCCCUAAUGAUUCGCUAUCACCCCACCUUCUCAAGAGGAAGGGCAGUGCUAUGUGCUGGGCAGAUUACAUGAGGAAAUCACAUACAUUUCUGCUGGGCUUUGAUUGAGGCAGUCAACCAGAAGGGAAGCCUGCAGACCUCACCAGAGCUCAUGGAGCAAGAUGGACACAGCCUAAGGUGAAAGGCGAGAGGACACACCUCUUUUUGGAAAGCAGAUGCUUUUUCACAAAGGAAUACAGAGCAUACUACCAAGGAACUGGUAAGAGAGCAAAUCAUACAGCCCAGAUGGCAGUCACACUGCUUAAUGCACUGCUGGAAGGUGCCCAGCUAGCCUGGUGAUGAGUGACGGAAGAACCUAUAGAGAAUAAUGUUCUUUGUUAAGUGCCAGCUAUUUAUUACAUUAUACUCUGAGAACAGCUGAGGCGAAUUAACCACAGUAACCAUUUGCUAUUCUCUCUGACAGUCCUGAGAUAGUAUCUGUACAACUCCUGUGGCUGAUGGUAGCUUCUGGGCAGAUGUGCACUUGUGCAAAGCAAACCUCGUCCAACAGCCCAGGUUAGCAUACUGCCAAACCCUCAUCAACAAACCACUCCACAGGUAUAUGAGUUUAUACUUGCUCCUAUGCCAACAAUCACUUGGGUUUUGGUCAACUUGGAGCCUGACCAGAACAGGCCUGCAUCCACACAGAUUGCACAACAAGAACAGAGCUGGCUGCCCAGCUUUUGCAUUAGUGAGUGAAGUGCUCAUUGACCCAGCUACAGCAAAUAAAGGAAGGGUGGCUGGGAACACAUUCUUAAAUCUGUCUCUUACAUCAGUUUUAAAUCUGAUCAAAAGCAAGUAUAAGACAAGAUUUCUGUACUCUUCGUAACAUCAUCCAUACUAGAAACAUCCAAGUGUUUUUUUUUCUUUUCAUUAAAAUAUCACUAUUUGCAUCAAAACAAUAUUGCAAAAAGAUAUUUGGCAGAACAGAAAGAGAUUAUAUUUUCUAUUACCUGUUCUAAAUUUGAUCUUGCACUAGGGACAGGUGAGUUAAACAAAGUAGAAUCCUGACCACAAAAUCUGGAUUGCUUUGAUAUUCUGGCACUGAAGCUAAGAUAAUACAGCUUUGCUCCAGAUAAUGGCUUGGCCCUGUAGAUAGGUACCUCAUGGAUAAAAGCAGGAACAAAUGUUUAUGGAUAUGGCUAUAUUCCUCUGAAGAUGAGCACAUCUUAAAUACUGCUAUUGUUUCACAGACAGUUAGUGAGAGUAACCAUCUUCUACAUUACCUCCUGAGGAACAAGGUAUGCAAGUUGUUCUGCACAAGCUGUCUAUGCUUGAGCCAUCAAUGUCCACAUUCAGUCAUCUGCAACAUCUAAUAAAACAGAGAUUAAAGUAGAAGGCGGGUUACACAGUCUUGGCAAGCUUACUGUUCUGUAUAAGCCAAGUUAAUAACACAGCUUAUUGCAGUUAGGAUAUAGGUAGAAGCAGUUUUAAAAUCUAAUUUAAGAUUUUUGUUAUGUUUAUUUGGGUUAUUUUAUAAGGAGAACAUUCCACUGUAUGAUGGCACGCAAUACAUACAUACCUGGUCCCAAAGGAAACCCAUGACAUAGCAUCUGCUAAAAUCCAUUAAGCUAUAACACAGUUCAGAAAAAAAAAACUAGUUAAGUCAGAAAAAAGCAUACAAUACACCCUAUUGCCCAUGAUGAUAAAUUAGUCUUAACUUUUUACUACUGUUUGAUGAUUUUUCACUGACAGUAAGAACGUUGAUAUCAAGGUAUGACUGCUCAAGAUACAUUGGAGAGACACUGACAUAUGUCAUUUUCAAAAUUUAGUUUUUAGUUAGCAAAAAUUCCUCUCUCUAAUCAUCCUGGAAGCAGCAUCAGAGAACAGGUACGACAUGGAGCUUUUCUAUUCCUGAAAUUUAGGCUCCCUUUAAUGUAGGAUUAAAGAAUGCAAACACAGAAACCUAUGGCCCUUAAACUGUACGUUCUCCCAGAAGAUCUGACUGUCCAAAGGCAUCAGUAAGCACUAUACGUAUAUCUGUGAUCACGAUGUCCAGGUUUCAUUUUGGGUCUAAGUGUAGCAAUGUCUGUGAAUCAAUCAGUAAAGUACAGAUCUCUCAAGAAAGAUUAAAUCAAUUGUUACUGUCCUCCAACAAAAAAAUCAAGAUCUUCAUUCUACCAUAGUCAAUGGCUCUUCAUUCUCAGAAUCCCUCACUUUCAGAUGCAAGUGCUUCAUCAACAGAUUUUGUAUGCCUCUCC